rnacentral:rRNA from 1 species
AUUGAACGCUGGCGGCAGGCCUAACACAUGCAAGUCGAGCGAGCGGCGGACGGGUGAGUAAUGUAUGGGGACUGCCCGAUAGAGGGGGAUAACUACUGGAAACGGUAGCUAAUACCGCAUACUAUCGGAUAACCCAUAUGGGAUUAGCUAGUAGGUGAGGUAAUGGCUCACCUAGGCGACGAUCCCUAGCUGGUCUGAGAGGAUGAUCAGCCAAACUGGGACUGGGACACGGCCCAGACUCCUACGGAGGCAGGCGUGGGGAAUUUUUGACAAUGGGCGAAAGGCCUAUGGAGCCAAGCCGGGGGUGUGAAGAAGGCCCUAGGGUUGUAAAGUACUUUCAGUCGGGAGGCGUUACCGACAGAAGAAGCACCGGCUAACUCCGUGCCAGCAGCCGCGGUAAUUC